rnacentral:rRNA from 1 species
UACAGAGGUCUCAAGCGUUGUUCGGAUUCAUUGGGCGUAAAGGGUGUGUAGGUGGCGCGCUAAGUCGGGUGUGAAAUUUCGGAGCUUAACUCCGAAACUGCAUUUGAUACUGGCGUGCUUGAGGACUGGAGAGGAGACUGGAAUUCGAUGGUGUAGCAGUGAAAUGCGUAGAUAUCGUAAGGAAGACCAGUGGCGAAGGCGGCAUCCUGGAC